rnacentral:rRNA from 1 species
UACGUAGGGUGCAAGCGUUAAUCGGAAUUACUGGGCGUAAAGCGUGCGCAGGCGGUUUUGUAAGUCUGACGUGAAAUCCCCGGGCUCAACCUGGGAAUUGCGAUGGAGACUGCAAGGCUUGAAUCUGGCAGAGGGGGGUAGAAUUCCACGUGUAGCAGUGAAAUGCGUAGAGAUGUGGAGGAACACCGAUGGCGAAGGCAGCCCCCUGGGAUAACACUGACGCUCAUGCACGAAAGCGUGGGGAGCAAACAGG